ensembl:lncRNA
GUGGCCCACUGGAUGGAUUGCUUUUUCGCAGGCUUUUAUAUGUUUGAAUAUGAAGUUGACCCGGAAUAUUCUGGCAGACCCUUUUUAAAAAGUCAAUUGCUGUGAGCUGUAGGCUGUGAGCAGAGGUUCCUGCAGUGGAGGGGGGCAGGUGAAGAGGAAGGAGCUGAGACAGCGGACUAAUGAGGCUGAUUUACAGCCCUCUGUCUGGCUUCCCCUGCCAGGCCCCGCCCCGCCCUGCACAAAUCCAGGUCACUGCACUGAUGGAGAGGAAAUGGGAAGCUAAUUAGAUAAUGGGAGGUGAAAAUGGGAAAGAGGGCCGACUGGAAGGUGCAUAUUUAAUAAGUGCCUGAAGCAAGGCUGGGCGUAUGGGGCGAGGGCCCUGGGAGAGCGGCGUGACAAAAGGCAAGAGGAGGGGACGUCAAGGCCCACAGACGGGAACUGGGCCGCUAACAGAUUGUGCCAGCCUUUGAGUGGGGGCCUGUGACAAGGGGUUUAAGGGGGC